CCAACUCCUCAGUAAGGAAAGUAGCUAUUGGCUGUCCUAAAAGUCGCUAAAUGACGUCAUCGCCUAAUUUGCAUAAGGUCCUUUUGUGUGUAAUUGACGCUGUAGAAGAGAGGAAUAACAUCGUGGGAGAGACAAAAAUAAAAGCUGGAGAAUCAGACGUGAAAUGAGAGGAAACUGUACCGAGACGAACUCAGCAAGGAAGCCAGGCAGCGUUAUGUGGAUGAAUGAUCAUCUGUUAACAGCACUGAUAAACUAAGUUGUUAGUGGAACAGCGACCAUGUUGCGGUAAAUGUUUGUAUUGUUCACAGCUGCUGUCUUUGUUUUUUGUCUGUGUCUGUUUCUAAGUACAAAUAAAGUACAUAUAAAUGUUA